ensembl:Y_RNA Y_RNA Y RNA
GGCUGCUCCGAAGGUAGUGAGUUAUCUCAAUUGACUGUUCACAGUCAGUUACAGAUGGAACUCCUUGUUCUAUGUUUUCCCCCCUUCUCACUACUGCACUUGACUAGUCUUUA